GUGGGGAAUAUUGCGCAAUGGAGGCAACUCUGACGCAGCCAUGCCGCGUGCAGGAAGAAGGCGCUACGCGUUGUAAACUGCUUUUAACCGGGAAGAAACCCCAGGACGUGUCCUGGGUUGACGGUACCGGAGGAAUAAGCACCGGCUAACUUCGUGCCAGCAGCCGCGGUAAUACGAAGGGUGCAAGCGUUAUCCGGAUUCAUUGGGUUUAAAGGGUGCGUAGGUGGAGCGUUAAGUCAGUGGUGAAAUCCUGCAGCUUAACUGUAGACUUGCCAUUGAUACUGGCGCUCUUGAGUGCGCUUGAAGUGGGCGGAAUGUGCCGUGUAGCGGUGAAAUGCUUAGAUAUGGCACAGAACACCAAUUGCGAAGGCAGCUCACUAAGGCGAUACUGACGCUGAGGCACGAAAGCGUGGGGAUCGAACAGGAUUAGAAACCCUUGUAGUCC
rnacentral:rRNA from 1 species